rnacentral:misc_RNA from 1 species
GAUGAAGAACGUAGCGAAAUGCGAUACGUAAUGUGAAUUGCAAAUUCAGUGAAUCAUCAAGUCUUUGAACGCACAUUGCGCCCCCUGGUAUUCCGGGGGGCAUGCCUGUCCGAGCGUCAUUGCUGCCCUCAAGCACGGCUUGUGUGUUGGGCCCCGUCCUCCGAUUCCGGGGGACGGGCCCGAAAGGCAGCGGCGGCACCGCGUCCGGUCCUCGAGCGUAUGGGGCUUUGUCACCCGCUCUGUAGGCCCGGCCGGCGCUUGCCGAUCAACCCAAAUUUUUAUCCAGGUUGACCUCGGAUCAGGUAGGGAUACCCGCUGAACUUAAGCAUAUCAAUAAGCGGAGGA